CGUACGUAGGCGGCUUGGUAAGUUAGAGGUGAAAGCCCGGAGCUCAACUUCGGAAUUGCCUUUAAGACUGCUUGGCUUGAACGUCGGAGAGGUGAGUGGAAUUCCGAGUGUAGAGGUGAAAUUCGUAGAUAUUCGGAAGAACACCAGUGGCGAAGGCGGCUCACUGGCCCGAUACUGACGCUGAGGCACGAAAGCGUGGGGAGCAAACAGGAUUAGAUACCCUGGUAGUCCACGCCCUAAACGAUGUCUACUAGUUGUCGGGGAUUAAUUUCCUUGGUAACGCAGCUAACGCGGGAAGUAGACCGCCUGGGGAGU
rnacentral:rRNA from 1 species